rnacentral:rRNA from 1 species
UACAGAGGGGGCAAGCGUUGUUCGGAAUUACUGGGCGUAAAGGGCGCGUAGGCGGUCGUGACAAGUCACUUGUGAAAUCUCCGGGCUUAACUCGGAACGGUCAAGUGAUACUGUCGGACUAGAGUACAGAAGGGGCAACUGGAAUUCUCGGUGUAGCGGUGAAAUGCGUAGAUAUCGAGAGGAACACCUGCGGCGAAGGCGGGUUGCUGGGCUGAUACUGACGCUGAGGCGCGGAAAGCCAGGGGAGCGAACGGG